UGUCGAUGCCUUUCGGGGCAUUUCCUCCCUAGUCUUUGGCCGCGCUCGUAACCAUCGGGUGCGGUUCUUUUUAUCUACC
rnacentral:sRNA from 1 species